GUGAAUCAUCAAAUUUUUGAACGCAAAUUGCACUCUUUGCGGAGAGUAUGCCUGUGUGAGGGUCAGCCUAAAAAAAAGCGACAUAGUCGCUGUUUCGCGGUGACAUUCGUCGGAAACUGGGUCAUAUUAUACCUUGGGGUUUUAAGCGGCUUAAAAUUUGCUUUACGAUUCUACGAACGAAUCUAAGAUAUAUUUCUUACACGUUUAAGGUAAUCGAUCUUUAUUAGACGCGGCAGUUGCACCGGAUCGCGACCAUAAAUAUUGCGUUAACUGACCU
rnacentral:misc_RNA from 1 species